UUUGUCUUCAUUUGUGUGUUUUCCCCUAAUGAGGAGCAGAGACAGGGGAUUAGAGGAGGAGACACUGGAGGAUUAGGCAUCUUCCCCAGGAGGACCCCCCAGGCAGCUGACACUGGCCACCCCUCCCAGGCUGAGGCCCAGGGUCUCUGCGAUCCUCCCUCCUUGCCCCUCCUGGCACCUGACGUCCAGUCUAUGACAGACCUGCUUCAAGCUGUGCUGUAGUACAUUUCAAGUGUGUACAGUAACUUGGUUUAUAAGUGCACAUCUAUGCAACUACACACCCGAUCGAGAUAGUGCAGCAGCUCAUGAAGGGGUUGAAUAUUCAUAAAGAAAUUGUGAUAAGGUCACCACGGGGGGUGGUGGUGGUGAAGCAGGAGCCAGUAAAGAAACCCAGUCAAAGCCCACAAAAG